rnacentral:rRNA from 1 species
CCUACGGGCGGCAGCAGUGAGGAAUAUUGGUCAAUGGGCGGGAGCCUGAACCAGCCAAGUCGCGUGAGGGAAGACGGUCCUACGGAUUGUAAACCUCUUUUGCCGGGGAGCAACGGGGUCCUUGCGAGGGCCCAAUGAGAGUACCCGGAGAAAAAGCAUCGGCUAACUCCGUGCCAGCAGCCGCGGUAAUACGGAGGGUGCAAGCGUUGUCCGGAAUCAUUGGGCGUAAAGAGUUCGUAGGCGGCAUGUAAAGUCAGGUGUUAAAGGCGCAGGCUCAACCUGUGUAUGGCACUUGAUACUUGCAAGCUGGAAUGCGGUAGAGGUAAAGGGAAUUCCUGGUGUAGCGGUGAAAUGCUUAGAUAUCAGGAGGAACAUCGGUGGCGUAAGCGCUUUACUGGGCCGUAAUUGACGCUGAGGAACGAAAGCCAGGGUAGCAAAUGGGAUUAGAUACCCUGGUAGUC